AAGACAGACUUAACUUUAAGAAAAGUGAUUGCCCAUCUGAGAGAAGAGUGUGUGGAAAGGAGACAAGAAUCUCCAACCAGAAAUGCAAAGGCCAAUGAUUCAAACUAUAUGUCUAAAUUCUAAUGAGGCACAUAGACAUAAAAACUGCAUUCUUACAUGGCAAAAUCUCAGAGGAGAUUUAUAUGAAACAACCCAAAGGUUUUAUCAAACGAAAUCAAGCCCAUUUAGUAUGCAGACUUCAGAAGGGGCUUUAUGGACUAAAACAAGCCACUAGGGUGUGGAAUGAAAAGUUACACCAUGCUAACAUAGCUGGGGUACACGCAAGGCCAUGCAGACAAGUGUUUAUACACCAAAUGCAAUAAUGGACAAUUUUCUUACAUCCUGGCAUUUGUCGAUGACCUGAUAAUUGCAACUGUAAAUGACAGAAACUACUCCCAAAUAGUAGAACAUCUAAGCAAAUAUGUGGAAGUCAAAGAACUAGGAGAAGUGCAUUAUUAUCUAGGAGUUCAGGUAGAAAGAUGAGAGGAUGGUUCUUCUAAGCCAAAAGCAGAAGGUCACUGAAUUGGUUGAGAGUCUGCAGAUGCAAGAAGCGCACCCAGUUGCCACACCUAUGGCUACUGAUUUUCUAAAGAAUUAAGAGGAAUCAGAGCUUUUACCUGACAACAAAUACAGGUCAGCAAUAGGGAAACUUUUGUGCCUAACCACAAUGUGUAGGCGAGACAUAGUGAAUGCAGUGGGGUUUCUGAGCAGAAAAGUGAAUGCUCCUACUGAACGUGACUGGACAGCUGUUAAGAGAGUUGUCAGGUAUCUAAGAAGUACUGCAAACUGUAAAUUAAAGUUGCCAGCUGACAGCGAUCUUGAACUGGUAGGUUACAUGGACGCUGAUUGGGCUGGGGAUGCAAAAGACUAUAAAACCACAGGUGGUUAUGUCUUCAUGCUUGCAAAUGGUCCCAUUUCUUGGGGCAGUUAUAAACAAAAUUGUAUAGUUUUGUCUUCUACAGAGUCCGAAUACAUUGCAGCUACAGAAGCUUGCAGAGAAAUAGCCUGGCUCGACCAACUGACCGAAGACUUUGGGUUAGUGCACGAGAAGCCUGUUCAUCUCAUGGAGGACAACCAGAGUUGCCUAAAGUUGUCACAGAGUUCCAUGCAAGAACAAAGCACAUUGGGGUGAAGUACCACUUCGUGCGUGAGGCCAUCCAGGAUGGACUUGUGGACUUGACUUAUUGCCAUACCAAAGAGAUGACUGCAGACAUUCUCACCAAGCCUCUACCAAGAGACAGUUUUCAGAACCUUCGAGUCAAAACGGGACUCUGGGUGGUUUAAUUAAAAUUUGCAUGAACUUGUU